UGACCUACCCUUCGCAGGGGGAUAACUCGCCGAAAGGCGAGCUAAUACCGCGUACGCUCUGGGGCUUUAGAACCUCCAGAGGAAAGCGUUAUGAAGCGGCGAAGGCGGGGGCUGCGGACCAUCAGCUAGUUGGUGUGGUAACGGCGCACCAAGGCGACGACGGUUCGGGGACCUGAGAGGGUGACCCCCCACACUGGCACUGAGAGACGGGCCAGACUCCUACGGGAGGCAGCAGUAAGGAAUAUUGCACAAUGGGCGCAAGCCUGAUGCAGCAACGCCGCGUGCAGGAUGAAGGUCUUCGGAUCGUAAACUGCUUUUCUCAGGGACGAGCAAGGACGGUACCUGAGGAAUAAGUCUCGGCUAACUACGUGCCAGCAGCCGCGGUAACACGUAGGAGACGAGCGUUAUCCGGAUUUACUGGGCGUAAAGCGCGGGUCGGUGGGGUCUUAAGUCAUGCGUGAAAGCUCUC
rnacentral:rRNA from 1 species